CUUCUACCCGGGGGCUCCAGUGCAUCUGGCUUUAUCUCUGGGGUGCUUCCAUACAAAGGGGACAGAAGAGAUGAUGGAAGGCCUCAGUACUGCAGGAGGGGAGACGGAUGUCAUCCACAAUCACACAAUACAUGGGAGGUCACAGGUCUACAACAUCCAGAGCAGCCACAUUGCAAGUGCUCAGUAGCCACAUGUGGCUGGCACAUGUGGCCCAUGGCAACUGUGCUGGACAUGAACGCCAGGGUGACGUAACAAUUCAAACCAUGAAGAGGUAACAGAGCCCUUCGCGCGUCUCAACACGUGGUGACGCAGCUAAUAACCUGUGAUGCAUACAUGGGAACAAAUGCAUAGAAAAACUUGUCAAUGACACGGCAAAGUAAAACCCAAAUGAAGCGAGGUGAAAGAAUGGGCUGCAGCGCAGGCAAAACUGCACCACGUUACAGACUGCUCGCCUGGGAUGGAACGGUGGGGAGGUGCGCAGACGGAUGGACAAGCGCCUGGCAAAAUGGAUUUCUUUUCCUAGACUGCUAAUGCUACUAACAGUUCCCUCCUCACAGGGUCGCUAUAACGAGGUAACAUACAGCACUUAGAAGACGGCCUGACCCAGAAUAACACUAAUGUUCACAUGGCUGCGAGUCUCAGACCAAAAUCAAUAGCCGGUAUCUACUGAAACUGCAGCAAGGCG
rnacentral:sRNA from 1 species